GUGACCUCAAAUCAGGUAGGACUACCCGCUGAACUUAAGCAUAUCAAUAAGCGGAGGAAAAGAAACUAACAAGGAUUCCCCUAGUAACUGCGAGUGAAGCGGGAAAAGCUCAAAUUUAAAAUCUGGCGGUCUUUUGGCUGUCCGAGUUGUAAUCUAGAGAAGUGUUAUCCGCGCUGGACCGUGUACAAGUCUCCUGGAAUGGAGCAUCAUAGAGGGUGAGAAUCCCGUCNUUGACAUGGACUGCCAGGGCUUUUGUGAUGCGCUCUC
rnacentral:rRNA from 1 species